CCUACGGGUGGCAGCAGUGAGGAAUAUUGCACAAUGGGCGCGAGCCUGAUCCAGCCAAGCAGCGUGAAUGAUGACGGCCUUCCGGUUUGUAAACUCUUUCUAUAAAGGAAAAAAUUGAGGCACGUGUGCCUUUUAGUAUGUACUUUAUGAAUAAGGAUCGGCCAACUCCGCGCCAGCAGCCGCGGUAAUGCAGAGGAUCCGAGCGUUAUGCGGAUUUAUUGGGUGUAAAGGGAGCGUAGGGGGGUUGUUAAGUGAGUUGUGAAAGUUUGCGGCUAAACCGUAAAAUUGCAAUUGAUACUGGCAGCCUUGAGUACAGUUGAGGUGGGUGGAAUUCGUGGUGUAGCGGUGGAAUGCUUAGAUAUCAGGAAGAACACCGAUUGCGAAGGCAGCCUUCUAGACGGCCACUGACGUUGAUGCGCGAAAGUGUGGGUAGCAAACAGGAUUAGAUACCCCAGUAGUC
rnacentral:rRNA from 1 species